rnacentral:sRNA from 1 species
UGGCCGUCCCUGCCAGCCUCGACGUUUCUGACAACUGGCUUCGGCCGGAGCCCCCUGGCCAGGAAGCCCGAGUGCAGAGCUGGAAGGAAGAGAAGAAACCCCACCUUCAGGGCAAACCAGGGAGACCCUCUUCCCCGGCCAAUGUCCCUGCUCUGCCUGGCGAGACGGUGACCUCCCCAGUCAGGGUGAGUAGCGAUGGGGAGCCGGGCAGGGGCCCAGCCCUCCGGCAUCCUCACCGCCCCUCCGUUCCCAGCUGCACCCCGACUACCUCUCCCCGGAGGAGAUACAGAGGCAGCUGCAGGACAUCGAGAGGCGGCUGGAUGCCCUGGAGCUCCGCGGCGUGGAGCUGGAGAAGCGACUGCGGGCGGCCGAGGGAGAUGACGCUGAGGAUAGCCUCAUGGUGGACUGGUUCUGGCUUAUUCACGAGAAGCAGCUUCUGCUGAGACAGGAGUCAGAGCUGAUGUACAAGUCCAAGGCCCAGCGUCUGGAGGAGCAGCAGCUGGACAUCGAGGGCGAGCUGCGCCGGCUCAUGGCCAAGCCUGAGGCUCUGAAGUCACUGCAGGAGCGGCGGCGGGAGCAGGAGCUGCUGGAGUGGUACGUGAGCACCGUGAACGACCGCAGUGACAUCGUGGACUCGCUGGACGAGGACCGGCUCCGGCCUCCAGAGGAAGAAGUCCAAGUUCCGCUUGUCCAAGAUCUGGUCACCAAAAAGCAAAAGCAAAAGCAGCCCCUCCCAGUAGUAGCCAGUGGGGCCAUGGGCUCAGCCUGGACCCGGCAUCCGGACUUGGACCUGGGGACGUGGGCUCGGCCUGGACCCAGCAUCUGGACUUGGACUCAGGAAGGGCCUCCUGUCCCUACAAGGGGCAUGUGGACAGCAGGGACCUGCGCUACCGUCUGGCCUCAAUAAAGAAACGGACCACACGG